rnacentral:lncRNA from 1 species
GGCUUCUUGAUCCUAUGUGUUGUAUUGAGUGUUGGUCACUGGUCUUUGGGAAGCUUGGACAGAAGUGGGGCAGCCAUGGAGCUGCUGACUGGGACUGGCCUGUGGCCCGUGGUCAUAGUCACAGUCAUCUUCAUAUUACUGGUGGACAUGUUGCACCGGUGCCAGCGCUGGACUUCUUGCUGCCCACCAGACCCUGUGCCAUGGCCUGUGCUGGGUAACCUGCUGCAGGUGGACCUGGAUAACAUGCCAUAUAACUUGUACAAGCUUCACAACCGCUAUGGUGACGUGUUCAGCCUGCAGAUGGGCUGGAACCACAUGGCCGUGAUCAACGGACUGAAGGUGAUACAGGAAGUGUUGGUGACCUGUGGAGAGGACACUGCUGACCGCCCUGAAAUGCCCAUCUUUCCACACCUAGGCUAUGGGCAAAAAGCUAAAGGCAAAGGCUGUGUGGGGGCAGAGAUGGCAUCAAAGCCAGACAAGGGGGGACAGUGAGCAAAGGAAGGUCAGAUCAUGAUGCAGGUGGUAAUGUAGUUAAGCAUUGCAGCAGAAAGUCACAGAAAUCCAUUGUGGAGCCUCCUGAGCAUGGUGGAGGGUGGUAGAGACAUGUACUGGAGGAAGGGUGAGGUAUGGAGGACACCGACAAAGAAGAGAAAUGAAGGUGGGAGGGGGCACCAAAGCCAGGUGUCCUUGGUUUUACACAGAUGUGUCUGCAGGUGUGGUCCUUGCUCCUUAUGGGCCUGAGUGGAAAGAGCAGAGGUGAUUCUCUGCGUCGACCCUGUGCAACUUCAGCCUGGGCAAGAAAUCACUGGAGCAGUGGGUGAUGGAAGAGGUUGGACACCUCUUUGAUGUCUUCACUGCCCAUGCUGAGGAGGCUGUAGACAAGAGAUUUGGAAAGAACACAUCUAGAAGUGUCCACCACAGUAAUAGGAGCCUGGAGAUUGACAUACAGCAAAAGGAAGUGAGAAGCUGACCAAGGUCAGGGCUUCUAGAAGCUGAGACCCUGGCCCUCUGCCCACAUGGAACAUCUGUGAGAUUUUCCAGGGUUGGCUGACAAAGUCUUCCCUGGGCAAAAGACAUUUCUCAUAAUGGUGGAUAAGCUGGUGACUGAGCACAAGAGGACCUGGAACUCGGACCAGCCGCCUCGAGACCUGACUGAUGCCUUUAUGGCUGAGAUGGAGAAGGCAAAGGGAAACCCUGAGAGUAGCUUCAAUGAUGCAAAUCUAUGUCUGGUUGUCCUUGACCUGCUGGGUGCUGCAACUGUGACCACCUCAACCACACUGUCCUGGGCCCUGCUGCUUAUGAUCCUGCAUCCGGAUGUGCAGUGUGAGCCUGGCUGGGGCUGUCAAGAAAGGAGGAGGAGGGUAGAGGCAAACUCCUUAAACUUACUUGGGACACUUGUAGAUCCCAGCAUUGAGUUAACCCAGACUGCAGCCAAGUACAACAGGAAAUCGAUGAGGUCAUUUGGUAUGUGUGGCUUCCAGAGAUGGCAGACCAGGUCUGCAUGCCCUUCACCAAUGCUGUCAUUCAUGAGGGCAUGACUCUCAUCUCCAACCUGUUCCGUGCUGAAGGAUGAGACUGUCUGGGAGAAGCCCCUUCGCUUCCAUCCUGAACACUUCCUGGAUGCCCAGGGCCACUUUGUGAAGCCUGAGGCCUUCAUGCCAUUCUCAGCAGGCCACAGAUCAUGCCUGGGGGAGCCCCUGGCCCUCAUGGAGCUCUUCCUCUUCUUCACCUGCCUCCUGCAGCGCUUUAGCUUCUCAAUGCCAGCUGGACAAUCCCUUCCCAGUGAUUAUGGCAUCUAUACAAUGCCAGUUACUCCAGCACCUACCAGCUCUGUGCAGUGGUUUGCUAGCAGGGGCAGUGGCUCCAGCCAUCAUCACAGAUUGUUCUGACUGAUGUCCAAUAAACAAGUUUUGUGUCUGAAUC